CUCCGGGACUCAGUGAGGCUCCCAGGACCCGGGGCUGCGCUCCUUCAAAAUAAGAGCCCGGAGCCAGGCCUGCGAGGCAGCUGGCGCUGGAGGGAAGGAGGCGUGGCUCCGGCCUCCAACUCAACCCCCAGGACUGUUUUCUCAUCAACAUUAUAACAAAGGGACACUGGACAUCCUUCAAGGAACCUGCUGUACUGACUUUGGACUACUGCUAAGAAGUUAAAAUGGGAUGCUUUGGGGACAGCACUGCCACCAAGUUGCCGAUGCUAUCAUGAUUCACCUGAUUUCUCUGGGCAGAAGACCUCACCAAUGUGUCCUGAAACUUCACCUCUCCAGAGCCCUACCCCAUUAGGGAAAGACAGAAACUGGCUGGGGCUAUGAAUCUACCUGCCAAUGCUCAUGUCCAGCAGAGAAGCAAUUACAGAAGCCAGAACUCCCACCUUCAGCACUUCGAAAAUAAUUUUGAUCCAUAUUCCCAGUAGGGAAGAAUUAAUAGGAGGAAGAUAACCAGAGGCCUCUGAACGCCAACUCCAUCAGGAACUGGAGAGAGAAGAGAAAAAAAAACAAAAAAAAACGGAGGGACAUUUGGAUGUAGUAAAAGAUGUAUGUGUGACUUGGAAAGGAAGAGAAGAUGGGACCACAGGGGGGAUAAAAGAGAGGGGGAAAUAUAUACAAAUCUAGACAGAUAGUUGUAGAAAUAAUAGUUAACCCAUAUCUACAACCUUAAGAAAACUUCUGCAACUUACAAUGGAGGGACUGGGGAUUCAGAACUCUAGUGGUGAAAAUGGUUCUGUGUUAUACCCGUUAUUUUGUAAUUUUGUAAAUCAGUAUUAAAUCACUAAAUCAGAAAAAAGGAGUUAGAAUAAGACUAGCAUUUUUAGCCAUUAUUUCUAUUUGUUUUUCACACCCCAUUUUACACCUCUGAUACUCAAACAUCACCCAAAGGAAUAUCCUCUUUCCUUUGAAACCUUAGCAUUCUCUAAAAUUUGUUUCUCUUAAAGUUUGUGCACAUAUUUUGAAAUCAGUUAGUUAAAAAUACUUCU